UGGAAACAACCCAAGCAUAAAGAACCAGGUGAUUUCUGUCUUCUUGGCUUUUAUGGGAGCAGAGGCUGGGUGGAUGGCUCAGUGGGCAAAGGAAAAGGCGAGCAGACACUUCCAACUUAAGUCCUGCAUCAAGGGAGGCCAAGGCAGGAAUCCACUGCAGGAACCGGAAGCAGGAACUGAAGCAGAGACCCUGGAGCAAUGAAGAUGUUUACUGGCUCACUCCUUCUGGCUUGACUCAGCUGCCACAGCUGAGUACACAGCUCAGGCCCAGCUGCCUAGGGUCACCAACAGGCCUAAUAAAAGCUGAGAGAGCAGUCACUGGCAAUUUCCUGAUUCACUCUUCUUUGAAUUCAUCUGCCUUGCUGAUGGUGGAGAAAGAGACGCACCUUUUAAUAUUUGUGUCUCAAAGAAGACA